UACGGAGGGGGCGAGCGUUGUUCGGAAUUACUGGGCGUAAAGGGCGCGUAGGCGGAGCGUCAAGUCAGGGGUGAAAGGCCUGGGCUCAACCCGGGAACUGCCUUUGAAACUGACGGACUGGAGUCCGGGAGAGGAUGGCGGAAUUCCCAGUGUAGAGGUGAAAUUCGUAGAUAUUGGGAAGAACACCGGUGGCGAAGGCGGCCAUCUGGACCGGAACUGACGCUGAGGCGCGAAAGCGUGGGGAGCAAACAGG
rnacentral:misc_RNA from 1 species